UCUGUUCUUACGAGAGGUACAUUGUGGGGUAAAAUUAACGUAUUUUCCAGCAGUGUGGGGUUUUUUGGGUACUGUGGGGUUAACCCCAUAAUGAAGAGGUCUAAUUACGUUCAAAAUUACUCUAUGAGGUCGAAAAACCUAAAAUUAGAUUUAACCUCACAAAGACUUUGUCCAAAUUUUGGACAUGUCCUUAGCCCAAAACGCUCAGACAUUCAGAAAUCUGCUGUUUAGAGGAGUUCGGUAACUGAAUCGAGGAGUUCCGAAUACCUGAGCAUGCGCAUAUAUUUAAAACUAACUGCGCAUGCGCAGAUUACGGAAGUAGCUGUGUUUGGACACUUUGUAUUAGCAGUGAGGAAAUUCGGAAACACAAAAAGCAAAUGCAGUAAGUCUUACUAUUUUGUUGCACCACAUUGAAAAAAAGCUUUGUAAAUUGUUUGACAUGCUUCAUACGUACAUUAUGCAGUUGUAGAAUUUAUUUAAAGUCAAGGAAAGGACAUCUGUAGUCCACAUAAACACAUACAUGUACCUAUUGAAAACGGGCUUUUGUGAAAAAAAUUAUAAUGAAUGCACUGAUAGUUCUUUUUUUAAUCAGAGGUCUGCAAUGAAAAUCGACCGAUACCCGGGGGUCGGGCUAGUGGUUUUCUGCAUGAAGGUCGCCCCGUUGGCCAGUAAAAAAAGAUAAUAUUAUUUAUACACAUGCAAUACGUGCAAAGCACACCUGAGUUCAGAUACCACUGAAAGUGAACAUCAGUGGAACUUUGAUGAUCUAGGCCACUCUAUUGUUGCAGCAACACCAGCAGGCGUCGGACAUUCAUAAAGUUGAAAGAACAAACCUUUGACUUGAACACACAAUUUGUGAUCUGAAUAUAGUUCACAAAUUUAAGGAAAGCAACUAUUAAAGACAUCCAGAUCGGUGGUAUACAUGAAGUAUGAGUUAAAGACUUUUCAGAAGAACAAGCACAAUCCCGAUUCAUUUUUGCCAUUGCCUUCUCCAAACGGCGACAUUCAGGACCUGACUUACUUUUCAGAAAAAGAAGAUGAAUCGAUUUUUGAAAGUUAAUCUAAAAAGAUAACAUUUACAUGGGUCGUGGAUUUGAAUUACAUUUUCUUGAUGGGCAACUAGUUUCAAGUAUUUGGAUGUCUAUUCUCAAGUUACUGCAAACCUUAAAUUAACUUCUUGAUUAUUAGUUAAAUGUGAGACCGUGUUAACUUGAAGUAAUCAUUUUUUGAAUUGAGCUAUGUAAUCUCUGAUUACUUAUGUUUAUGAGUAGUGUUCAGCUUUAAGACAAAAGGAUCUUUUAUGAACAUUGCAUUCGGCAUGGCGAAUUUCUAUACAUUAACAGUCAUAGUUUUCGUCUUUUUUAAUUAGCGAUCUCAUUUUAAAUGUGAGAAAUAAUUAUUAAACUGAAAUGUACAUUUAUGUUGUUUGAUUUUAAUUUUUUGAAAAUUAUAAAUCAAUUGCAUGUUGGUUUUUUUUUUCAUUUUAUUUUAGGGGAUGGGAGUGGGGGUGCAGCUCUAAGUUUGAGUAUAUUUUCCAAAAGGAUGUACAUCGUUAUUUUUGUCUAAGAUCAAUUUUAAAAUGCAAAAUGAUGAGAUAUUAGACUACACUUUUUUUUCUUAAAACUUCAUUUUAAUUAAUAUAUUUUGUUUAAAAUAAGUAGCAAUAACAUGCAAGUUUUAGAGUUAUUUGACAACUCACUAUAUACUUGGUUUUUUUUUUUACAUCUAUGAAGAUUGUCUCAAAUUUUGAGGUUUUUUUUUCUGUGUUCUACAUUUAUUGACAUGUUUCUUAUCUGUGUUCAACUUGUCGAGUAACUGAAAAGUUUGAUUAAAUUUUUUUUAAAAAAUCAGGAUCAUCUCUUUUAUUUAUUAUUAUUAAUUUACAAUGAAAUUAUGUAUGCUUUUGAUGCAUAAUGUACACUUCAAAUUCAUGCACCAGCAGAUUCAAAGGAAAAAUUAUCAUUAGAAAUAAGCAGUAAAGAUAAAGAGAUUAUCCAAUUUAAAAUAGUUUGAAAAAUAUUUAAAACAAAUUUUCGAGUAUGUUAUCAAAAUAGGAAAAAGGAUUAUGAGUAUUGUUUGGUAUUUUUAAUAGUAAAAACAAAAGGAUAUGACGUACUGGCAAUCGCAUCAUCUCACUCAGGGUCUUUCCGUCAGAGUUUGGAAAAACAACCUCGAAUGUAUUAACAUCACCUGAUGUUAAAGGUUUUGCUUUUCUUGUUUUUUCUUCAAAUAUAGGAUAGAGGAAUUAAGAAGUCCCUUUUAUAGUAUAUUUUAUGUAAUAUCAUAGCAUUGAAUAAAGUUAAACUCCAUAUUCCACAGAUAAAAGGUCUUCAUGCAUUUAUUUCGAAGAUCAUGAAAGGGGGGGGGGGGUUGUUGCCAUGGCGUCUAACUAAUACAUUCGAGGUCGUUUGUCAGCUAGUCAGAAAGGCUCGAGAAGUUGCGAUUGAACAUAGUGGGGGUACUUGUUCUUUUAUUACCAGUCCCUGGUAGAGUUUUUUGAUAUUAGAACAUACUUGGGGUUUUCAAACACUUAAAUUCAUAUGGUUACUGGUAUCUGUUACAUGAGAACACAGCGGGGUUGUUUGUUUAACACUCUGAGGUUACUAAGAUGUCUGAUAUUUUCUAUCAGAACAUAUUGUGGUUCUUGUCUAACACUUUGUGGGGUUAAUGUUAUCUUUUAUCUAUAUAAGAACAUAAUGGGGUUGUUACACGUUAUGGGGUUAGUGUUGUCUAUUAUCUUUAUGAGAGUACAUAGUGGGGUUGUUGUCCUAACACUUUAUGGGGUUAGUGUUGCCUACUAUCUUUAUGAGAGUACAUAGUGGGGUUGCUAUCCAAACACUUUAUGGGGUUAAUGUUGUCUGUUAUCUUUAUGAGAGUACAUUGUGGGGUUGCUGUCCAAACACUUUAUGGGGUU